rnacentral:lncRNA from 1 species
CCGGGUGGUAGCCGGCUAGUAACAGGUUCAGGGUAGAGUACUGGGGGGUAGCCGGCUAGUAACAGGUUCAGGGUAGAGUACCGGGUGGUAGCCAGCUAGUGACAGGUUCAGGGUAGAGUACUGGGGGGUAGCCGGCUAGUAACAGGUUCAGGGUAGAGUACCGGGUGGUAGCCAGCUAGUGACAGGUUCAGGGUAGAGUACCGGGUGGUAGGCAGCUAGUAACAGGUUCAGGGUAGAGUACUGGGUGGUAGCAAGCUAGUAACAGGUUCAGGGUAGAGUACUGGGUGGUAGCCAGCUAGUAACAGGUUCAGGGUAGAGUACCGGGUGGUAGCCGGCUAGUAACAGGUUCAGGGUAGAGUACCGGGUGGUAGCCGGUUAGUAACAGGUUCAGGGUAGAGUACCGGGUGGUAGCCGGCUAGUAACAGGUUCAGGGUAGAGUACCGGGUGGUAGCCGGCUAGUAACAGUCUCUAAGGUUCAGGGUAGAGUACUGGGUGGUAGCCAGCUAGUAACAGGUUCAGGGUAGAGUACCG